rnacentral:misc_RNA from 1 species
GAUGAAGAACGUAGCGAAAUGCGAUACGUAAUGUGAAUUGCAGAAUUCAGUGAAUCAUCGAAUCUUUGAACGCAUAUUGCGCUCUCUGGUAUUCCGGAGAGCAUGCUUGUUUGAGUAUCAGUAAACACCUCAACUUCCAUAUCUUUUUUGAAAUGGGAGUUGGACUUGAGUGAUCCCAACGCUUUUCCUCACCGAAAAGUGGCGGGUUACUUGAAAUGCAGGUGCAGCUGGACUUUUCUCUGAGCUAUAAGCAUAUCAAUUUAGUCUGCCUAAAAAACAGAUUAUUACCUUUGCUGCAGCUAACAUAAAGGAGAUUAGUUCUUGUGCUGACUGAUGCAGGAUUCACAAAGACAGGCUUCGGCCGACUUUGUAAACUCGAUCUCAAAUCAAGUAAGACUACCCGCUGAACUUAAGCAUAUCAAUAAGCGGAGGA